AGAGUUUGAUCAUGGCUCAGGACGAACGCUGGCGGCGUGCUUAAUACAUGCAAGUCGAGCGAGGUUAUGUUGUGGACAUCCUUCGGGAGGGAAGCGAUAUGACCUAGCGGCGGACGGGUGAGUAACGCGUGGGCAAUCUGCCCUAAAGCUCGGGAUAACAGUGGGAAACUGCUGCUAAUACCGGAUGACUUUAUCGGGAGGCAUCUUCGGAUAAAGAAAGUGGUCAAUCAUUGAUUGACCAGCGCUUUAGGAUGAGCCCGCGUCCCAUUAGCUAGUUGGUGAGGUAACGGCUCACCAAGGCGACGAUGGGUAGCCGGCCUGAGAGGGUGAACGGCCACACUGGGACUGAGACACGGCCCAGACUCCUACGGGAGGCAGCAGUAGGGAAUAUUGCGCAAUGGAGGGAACUCUGACGCAGCGACGCCGCGUGAGCGAUGAAGGUUUUCGGAUCGUAAAGCUCUGUCCUUGGGGAAGAAGGGUGCGAAGCAUCUUGACGGUACCUAAGGAGGAAGCCCCGGCUAACUACGUGCCAGCAGCCGCGGUAAUACGUAGGGGGCGAGCGUUGUCCGGAUUUACUGGGCGUAAAGGGUGAGUAGGCGGUUAUAUAUGUCAGGUGUAAAAAGCUAUGGCUUAACCAUAGUAAGCACUUGAAACUGUAUGACUUGAGUGCAGGAGAGGUAAGCGGAAUUCCUAGUGUAGCGGUGAAAUGCGUAGAUAUUAGGAGGAACACCGGUGGCG
rnacentral:rRNA from 1 species